rnacentral:rRNA from 1 species
UCGACGCUGAAGCACCAGCUUGCUGGUGUGGAUGAGUGGCGAACGGGUGAGUAAUACGUGAGUAACCUGCCCUUGACUCUGGGAUAAGCCCGGGAAACUGGGUCUAAUACUGGAUGCUACAUGUCACCGCAUGGUGGUGUGUGGAAAGGGUUUACUGGUCUUGGAUGGGCUCACGGCCUAUCAGCUUGUUGGUGAGGUAAUGGCUCACCAAGGCGACGACGGGUAGCCGGCCUGAGAGGGUGACCGGCCACACUGGGACUGAGACACGGCCCAGACUCCUACGGGAGGCAGCAGUGGGGAAUAUUGCACAAUGGGCGAAAGCCUGAUGCAGCGACGCCGCGUGAGGGAUGACGGCCUUCGGGUUGUAAACCUCUUUCAGCAGGGAAGAAGCCACAAGUGACGGUACCUGCAGAAGAAGCGCCGGCUAACUACGUGCCAGCAGCCGCGGUAAUACGUAGGGCGCAAGCGUUGUCCGGAAUUAUUGGGCGUAAAGAGCUCGUAGGCGGUUUGUCGCGUCUGCUGUGAAAGCCCGGGGCUUAACCCCGGGUGUGCAGUGGGUACGGGCAGACUAGAGUGCAGUAGGGGAGACUGGAAUUCCUGGUGUAGCGGUGAANUGCGUA